UUUGGAUUUUGCAUAGACCAGCUGUAUGUCUCUUGCUUAUCUAGUUAUUCUUUUUCCCUUAACUCUUGCCAUUAUCUCUUCCCAAAUUGUUUCCUCCUUAACUGUGAAAUAUUCAUCAAGGCAGAGGCUGACACUACAGCAUCACUACACUCCUUUGAAUGUUCCUCAUACCACCAGUAUUUUAAUCCAACAAAAUUUCAAAGCACCAUGCCAUCAGAGGGUUCCACGGUGUGCUGCAAAAUCGUGAGGAUGAUUUUUUCAACAGUAAUUUAUAAAAUAUUAAUAGUCUACUCAGCAUCAUCUGUUUCCUGCGAUAGAUACAAGCAUCAAAUAUGAUACUGCAAAAGGCAGAACCAAAAAGACAAACUACCAUCUGCUUUCAGACACAGCUACAAGAAAUCCUAAAAUACUUUGAAAUAUGUUUCCCUUUUUGCUUAGUCUCUGGUAACGUGUGAGCAUUUCUUCUACAUGUAAGCCAAAAUAAUUAAAUAAGCCAUGUAGCAGCUCACUCUGACAAGAAACGUAGCAAUAGGGAAGAUAAGAAUCUUCAGUAUGUCAUGUAACAAUUCGAGCCUCCAAGUCAUCCAGGACAUUUAUGCUUUCCUGAUUACCAGCAAAAGGUCAAUGCUGAUCUCAUACUGUACUUGUCAGUAAUCUCCCAUAUGAUAACAUUAAUAUUUUUCAGACUGAGAAAAAUCAAUGCAGAUUAUAUGCAUGGGAGGGAAACAGAGUUCACUUAGUGUUUCAUACACUGAUAACCUGCACCACUGAGUGCUGUUCCAAAGUUUAACAAUGUGAUGCUCUCUUCUUAGGGUUGAAACUUGUUUAUGUUCUGAAAAUAAGAUCUUAGUGGGGACAGAAAAAGAAGAAAGCAAUUUCUAAAGCUACAGGAAACACAAAACUGGAAUGUAAGUGAGUGAGUAAAUUCAGAUUAUCACAAGGUAUCAGAUGUUAAUGGUUCUAGGAUAUUUAAAAGGCAAAUCUUGAGCUCAAUUUUAAGAAAUCAGGAACUCAGAGAGUUACGUAUGAGACAACACAUUUCAAUAUGCAGAAUAUUUGAG
rnacentral:lncRNA from 1 species